rnacentral:rRNA from 1 species
CCUACGGGAGGCAGCAGUGAGGAAUAUUGGUCAAUGGACGAGAGUCUGAACCAGCCAAGUAGCGUGAAGGAUGACUGCCCUAUGGGUUGUAAACUUCUUUUAUAUGGGAAUAAAAUGUUCCACGUGUGGGAUUUUGUAUGUACCAUAUGAAUAAGGAUCGGCUAACCCCGUGCCAGCAGCCGCGGUAAUACGGAGGAUCCGAGCCUUAUCCGGAUUUAUUGGGUUUAAAGGGAGCGUAGGUGGUUUGUUAAGUGAGUUGUGAAAGUUUGCGGCUCAACCGUAACAUUGCAGUUGAAACUGGCAGUCUUGAGUACUGUAGGGGUGGGCGGAAUUCGUGGUGUAGCGGUGAAAUGCUUAGAUAUCACGAAGAACUCCGAUUGCGAAGGCAGUUCACUGGACUGCAACUGACACUGAGGCUCGAAGGUGUGGGUAUCGAACAGGAUUAGAUACCCUGGUAGUC